rnacentral:lncRNA from 1 species
UGAGGAGCCAACAUGCUCCAGGCUUUUCACUUCAGGAGAAGUGGCACUGAUGCUUAGGCCCCUUCUGCUCUGGGAUUUUUAUUUUUGUUUAACAAGAUGUUUCUUUUCAGCAAGCGUCUUGCAGUCCUGCUCGGUGCUACACCCGCUCAGCCCAUAUCUGGGAAUGAGGACCCAGGCGGAGAAAUACCUGCCUUACAGCCUCUGUCAGGACUCAGAUCAGGUUGAAGCACCAUCAGUGUCAAAAAUACAGUUUUCUGAUGUAUUAACUUGAAGAUCUGAACAACAGAAUGUUGAUGAUAAUAUAUCUCACAAUGGCUUAUUGAGUCAAGUGCAAGAUAAUUUCAGGUAAUAAAUAUUCAAACCUCAUCUAAUUCUGGAUUGAG